rnacentral:rRNA from 1 species
UACGGAGGGUGCAAACGUUGCUCGGAAUCAUUGGGCGUAAAGCGCACGUAGGCGGCUCGUUAAGUCGGAUGUGAAAGCCCUGGGCUCAACCCAGGAAGUGCAUUCGAAACUGGCGAGCUUGAAUAUGGAAGAGGGUCGCGGAAUUCCCGGUGUAGAGGUGAAAUUCGUAGAUAUCGGGAGGAACACCAGUGGCGAAGGCGGCGACCUGGGCCAAUAUUGACGCUGAGGUGCGAAAGCGUGGGGAGCAAACAGG